AUACGUAGGUGGCAAGCGUUAUCCGGAUUUACUGGGUGUAAAGGGCGUGUAGGCGGCAUACCAAGUCAGAUGUGAAAUCUCCCGGCUCAACCGGGAGCGUGCAUCUGAAACUGGUACACUUGAGUGCUGGAGGGGAAAGCGGAAUUCCUAGUGUAGCGGUAAAAUGCGUAGAUAUUAGGAGGAACACCGGUGGCGAAGGCGGCUUUCUGGACAGUAACUGGCGCUGAGGCGCGAAAGCGUGGGGAGCAAACAGGAUUAGAUACCCUGGUAGUCCACGCCAUAAACGAUGAAUACUAGGUGUAGGGGGUAUCGACCCCCUCUGUGCCGAAGUUAACACAUUAAGUAUUCCACCUGGGGAGUACGGCCGCAAGGCUGAAACUCAAAGGAAUUGACGGGG
rnacentral:rRNA from 1 species